UUCCAGCGAUUUUAGUGGUAAACGCUGGAAGAGCAGCUGUUUAAUUUGGUUUUGCGGCAAAUUUCAAAGAACCGCCCUUAAUCUCCCUUUUCUUUGGCGAUUGAAAAAUAUCCCCCUUUCCUAAAAGCACAACCCUCAGCAACUUCAUAAAAAAAGAAAGAAAGAAAGAAAUGUAAAGAGAAGAGGGGGAGAAACGGAGAAUAAGAGGGAAAGGAGGAAGGAGCCGCCCGACGCUGCUGAGUUCGCCGCCGCCGUCGCAUUGCCGUGCCGUCGGAAAGCCAAAACCGCAAGAGAAAGAACCGUGAAGAGAGAGGGAGACCGCAUCAGCUCACCACGAUGCCAGCGCCGUCGUCGUCCUCAUCGCGGGUCUUCACCGUCGCGUCUUGCCACCGCCGCCACCACUAAGCUUGCCGUCGUCGCCACUGAAGCCGAAGAGAGAGAGAGAGAGAGUUCGCGAAGAGAGAGAGAACCACUCACGAAGGAGAAGAACGGCGAAGAGUGAAGGAGAAGCAGAAGACGAUGAACGCAGGGGAGAAGGAGGAGGUCCGUUCUCGCACCGUCCUGCUCUGCCGCCACCGCUGCCAUCGAUUGGGGUCAAGCCGUCGCCGUCGCACCCUGUUCCCGUCGCCAUUAGGGUUUGCUGCUGCUGCCAUUGAUAGAUCUGCCGCUGGGAGGAGCCGAAUAGGGAGAGGAGGUCACCGUCGAACAUGCCGCCACCAGUUACAAUCGUCGCCGAAACCGGGACAGAUUCACCGACUUAUUACUUCAGGCAAGGGAUCUUAUUUCGAAGAUCACCGAGGAGAGGAGUUCUAUUAUUGAUCAAAAUAAAAGACCUCUGCAAGAACUGGUUCUUGCAGCCACUUAAGUUCUAGGUCAGGAGGGUCAAAGUUGGUUUCAGGAUACUGCUGAUGCUAUAACUGUAAGGCAGUUUCAAUGGCUAAUUAAGGAUCCAAGAGCAAGGAACAUUGAGGAUGUAUUGAUUCUUUCUGGGGAUCACCUGUAUAGAAUGAACUACAUGGAUUUGAUUCAAGUUCACCGGGAGAACAAAGCUGAAUUAGGAAUUGACUGUAAAAGGAGGUGUGGAUGAAAGGUUGGUUUCUUUGUUAGAGACACUAUUGACAUGUUUAUGUAGUAGUUGAUAAUUUUAUUCUUGAUGAAUGAUGAUCUCUUUGAAGUAUAGAUGAUGUUCUUCUCUAAUCAUGUAGUUUACUUAUUUUGACUCUGACUUAUAGAGAAUUUUGAUUUUUUCAAAGAUGCUGCCACCAAUGUAUCUCUGGCAGUUUCAAGGCGAGACAUGGCAACACAAAUGAUAAAUAUAUUAUUUUAUUUUUCAGUUA